rnacentral:rRNA from 1 species
UACGGAGGAUGCAAGCGUUAUCCGGAGUGAUUGGGCGUAAAGCGUCCGCAGGUGGCGAUGUAAGUCUGCUGUUAAAGAGUCUAGCUCAACUAGAUAAAAGCAGUGGAAACUACAUAGCUAGAGUACGUUCGGGGCAGAGGGAAUUCCUGGUGUAGCGGUGAAAUGCGUAGAGAUCAGGAAGAACACCAGUGGCGAAGGCGCUCUGCUAGGCCGUAACUGACACUGAGGGACGAAAGCUAGGGGAGCGAAUGGG